CUUGUCUUUUAUUUUCUCAAGGCAAGAACACCAAGAUGACCCAGAGAUGGUGAGCAAGAUCAUGUUGGCCCUGUACAUGGUCAUGAUUAUUUGUGCAGAUGGGAUCCUGCUGAUGCCUGCGCUGCCUGUGUGGUGUAUGGAGAUGCUGCCCUGCACUAUGCUUUGUGGUCUAUGAGAUUAUGAUUAGGAAAUGAGGCUAACUGCACAGCUGGGAAGAUGGUCCUCACAUUCCUCCUAUCCAAAUGGCCCAGAGCCAUCAGUAGUUUCUGCUGAUGAAAAGCCACAGAGCUCGGCAGUACGUUGCUGGUUUUUUAAGAACUUGUGGUCAUUAUGGAAGAUAAAUGACAGUCCUUGGAGCUCAUGGCUGAAGUACACAUUAGUCACCGGUAAAUGAUGUAUAAAAAAUAUUCAGCUUGCAAAAAGAUAAUGGUGGUUCCUAUUUGAAAAUGCAGAAAAAUGCACAUAUCUGGAGCACAAAAGUGUCUCAUCAAUAUCUCUGUGGGUAGAAAACUAACCUGUCAAGAGGAAAAUGUUGGGGAGAUGGAGAUAUUUAUGCACGUACUGCACUGAUCAUAAUGAUGUAAAGGACUAUUAAAGCAAACUUAAAAUAUUAGAUACUGCAAAUAUACAACUUAAUUGAUUUUUUUUUCCCAUGCAACCCAGUAAUGCUCUAAGAAAUUUCAAUAAGGAAUUGCUCAUUCUACAUCUUUGACUGCCAGUGAUCUUAUCUUUCUCCAUUUCACUGUUAUCUAUAAGUUAAGUAGUUAUUCUGGAUUUGAUCUUUUAUUAAUGGCAAAGUCCUUCAUUCCUUGCAGUGUUGGGACUUGGAAGGAGAGAAGACCAGAGGACAGAAUCUGUUUUGGUAACUGGCAUUGCCAGGACUGUAGCAGCAACAGUGAUGUGGAGAUACAGUGACCUUAUGCCUACAGUCCUCUCUGGCUGCCUUCUCCUAGAUGAUGAUCAUAAAAUCAUAGAGUAAUCAAGGUUGGAAAUGAUUAAAUGAUAGUCAUCAUUUGAUGGCUAAAGAUUGUAUGUUCCAACCACUGCCCCACCAUGAUGAUUCCCAGGUGUAAUUGGUGCCUUAUUACAGGGAAAAUCUCACUGCCUUCCAGGAAGGGGGCAAUUUUGCCACUUUCUCAGUGUAAUUAUCUCAUUUUAGGGCUUCAGUCUCAAGAUUUUGGUUAGCAGCAAACCUUGCUGAGAACCACAUCUCAAUGCCAGGCUCUAUGUGUUCCAUGCUGCUAUGGUGAAAGGAGCAUUUAAUUUCUAGUCUCUGCUCCAGACCUGUUUCUCCUGUGACACUUCACUGAGUCAAUUCAACUCACUUGUCUGGAAGAAAACAGAUCUAUGUUUUACACAUACAUAACAAAAGGUAUUAAAGUAGCUUUAUUUUCUGAUAGUGCUCUGGUUCAGCAAAAUGCCACCUGAGAACCAGGACAAGUGAAGGCAAACAGCAGGAGCAUAAGAAAGAGAAUGGUGGAAAAUAAAUGACUGGGGAAAAAAAGUGAUAGGAUGGACCAUCUCUUCCCAAGGCACUGAACCUGUGCCUUUGGAAAAAUCAUAAAAAUCAUUGAAACACUGGCACAGGUUGCCCAGAGAGGUAGUGGAUGUUCCAUCCCUCAGGGUGAGGAUGGACAGGGCUGUGAGUACCUGAUUGAGCUUUAGGUGUCCCUGAUCAUUGCAGUGGGGCAUUUAAAGAUCCUUUCCAACUCAAUUGAUUCUAUCCAAGUACAAGACAGGGAAACACUGCCAUGGAGCUUGGUAUGCCAGCAGGAGGGCACAUAGGAGUUAGCUCUUGCCUUAACAAGCAGUUUAGUUCUCGUAUAGAGGGCUUAAGAGAUUUUGCUGCAAGCUGGAGCCUAUCAUACAGGAAAGAGUUACAUUUAGGCCACUCGUAUCCUAGUAUAAAAUCAAAUGACCAGGCUACUUUUCAUUGCCUUUCUCAUCAGUAGCCUCAAAUUCUGCGGGAAACAGGAGAAACUGGAUGAAAUGAUAUUAGAUGAAUGGUACGGUUAACAGAGAAAGCUGCUUGUACUUAUUCUCCGCCAGCUCAUAGGUGCAUACAAGCUUCAAAGGAGGCUCUUCUGCACAUAGGAUCAUAGAAUGAUAGAAUCAUCAAUGUUGGAGGAGACCUCUAAGAGCAUUUAGUCUAACCAUCAAGCCAUCGCCACCAUGGCCCAAACCCUGCAAUGCUCUGUCCCUCUCUGCAGGCACUCAAUAAUCUCUUAGAUAAAUACCUUCACUUCCAACUGGACACUCCCUUGCAGAGGAUGGUAUGACACUACAUCCUGAAAGGUUACAUGCUCCUCCUUUUACAAGAAAACCUGUGAGAUGCAAAAGGAAAAAUGUUCUUUAAAUCUGGGCAUCAGUACUUUUCUCAAUCCUAAUGCUGAGGCUGUUAACACUUUGAAAUGUUGGCAUUCUCAGCCUCUCUAACUUCUAAAACCCAUGAAAAUAAGGAGGUAUUUUGCAGAAAGGGGAGCCCAGAGAAAAUACUUGCCUUCUAUAAAACCUUGCCAUGUACUGAGGGGGAGACUGAAGGUUAGCUUAAUUCCCUCAGCAUAACAGAACGCUCUUUGGUACUUAUAUGCUGAAAGAACAAAUUGAACCUGCACACCUUCUGACCUGUGCAGCUCUUGUUUAAUGAAAAGCAGUCAAAUCCAGCAUGUAGCAACUUUAUUAUCAGAAAAGAGAGAGAAAUCUGUUUAGCAACACUUUAUUUACUUCAAAAGUAACCUUGAAUUGUCAGCUGGAAUGGAGUAUGUUCCUGCUCUGUAUCCACUUCACAUUUCCUUUGCUUCCAAGGUUCGAAUCCACAUGGCCAUGAAGCAAGAACAAUAGCGUACUGCCAAGUGCCUGGAUAAGAUAUUUAUAGGUGCACGUGUAGAGCCAAAUACUGCACUAUAGCAUUAUGUUUUCUAGACAUAAAGCACAGUUACAUGUUUUCAGCUUUCUUUCUUUUUUUUUUUUUUUUUUUAAAUUUGAAAUGAAGACAUUCAGCCCCAUAAAAAGUACAAAACCAGACUCACUCAGUGGCAGCCCACAGAGCAUUUCUUUUGUGAACUCUGCUGCAGGAACGAAUGAGAGCAAAAUUGCUGCUUUUUCCAGAGGACAAGAAGAGAUUUCAAGAAGUCAGUCCCCCGCUAGCAAAAGUAGUUACUUCGCAGGUGAUUAUUAGAACAGGUUAGGAAAAGGGUACUCUCAUUCACAUUUAUGUUCUGUAGUAAAGCAUAAUCAAAUUCUAUGAAUUUUCAUCCAAAAUGGAGAAAGGUGAGACAGAUUCUGGAAAUAAUCUCUUUUGUAUCUCCCUCCUCAUAACUUCACAUCUUGCAUCUUGGGGCUUUUCCUGCCACACUGAUAGGGAAUCUGAGGUGGAAAACAGUUUUGAAGACGUCUUUUAGUGAAAGUUUUCUAUACCUGGGCUCUGCAUCACAAGGAUGAUGGAAAAUAGAUACGAAAAUAAAUAAAGAAAAAAAAGAUAAGAACAGUAGAGGAACAAUUAAUUUGGUUGGGACUCUUUAGCAUGAAAAAUGACGGACUGACUUCUGCCUGCUGGGUUAUCUCAUAUAAAACUAACAAAUUAACAAAAAAACUAGGCAUGCCAUUUUGGAAAUCUUUUUAACUGAAUGCAUCAAAGUGAUUUGAAUAAUGUGCUCUCUUCCACAAGCAGUUGACUACAGAGAUCUAAAAACUUGUUCAACUUAAAGCCUAGCCAACAGAAAUCAUUGCUGACACUGUCUGAAAUGUUCCAUAUGUGUGGUGUAGCACAGCUAUGUACUGCUGUCUGAAAAGCAAAGUUGGGCAUGUUGCUAACAAAAAGAUAAGAGCAGCAGGUUUAUGCAUUCUCUAUCCAUGGCCAACAUGAGACAAAUUAUACUGUGCGAAUAAUAAGAAGCACCAGAGGAGGUUCAAGUUGGAUAUUAGGAAAUAUUUUUUCUCAGAAAGUAUGGCAAUGCAGUGGCACAGGCUGCCCAGUAGGUGGUGGAGUCACCAUCCCUGGAGGUGUUAAGAACUGUGGGGAUGUGGCACUGAGGGACAUGGACAGUGGGCAUGGUGGGGAUGGGUUGGGAUUGGACUGGAUGAUCUUACAUUCACAGGGAACAAAGAGGAUGAAUUAGGGAUUCCUAAUUGUGAAGCACCACCAAAAAUCCUCUGGACUGGAGCUUGUAAUUUCCCCUAUCUCUGAGGCCCUCCCUGUCUCCCUAUUAGAGGUAUGAAGCAGUGCUGUGAUAGCUGGUGUACGAGGGAGGCUGACAGCCAGGACAUGAGCCGAGUCUGCUCCUGGAUGAUGAGAGCAGAGACCUUGUCAUGGCCUAAUGCAAUAUUCAUGUGUCUGGGAAACACGUAUUUCCCAUGUGCUUGGGCUCUGCAGGUCAGAGCUUGUUCUCAGUGGUUUCAAUGCAAAUCCCAAAUAGCUCCUUUGAUAUCAGUGUAUACGGCUGUGUAUGUUUGCAUGGGAUUACACCAGUGUGAGAGGUGUUAAGGACUUUGACUCCUCCUACCAAUACUAUUUGGAAGCUGUAGGUUUGGGAGACUAGCAUUAACAGGCUCUAGGGAUUGCUGUUUAUUUUAAACUGCACUUGUACUAAUAAAAUAUGCCUUAAAAAUAGCAACAUAACUUUGUGUUCCAUUGGUUUCCAUACGAGAUGCCAUGUAUUUCCAAGGAUAUUUUGUUUUUUCUUUUUUCUUUCCUAACUGCUAGGACUGGAAAUUCAAUCUCAUGUCUGAGAACAAAAAUAAAAAACAAAAAAAGAAACCAUUUCUAUCUUCUCACACAUC